UUUAUUUGAACUAAAUAGAGAUAUUAUAAUACUAUGUCUUAUUGGGCAUAAUAAUUAAAUUAGAGGUAUCAUUCCUUAAGCCCAAACAUAAUACUAGAAUAGUAAGAGGUGAGGAGAGUGAGAAGUAGCACUCAUUUGGUUAUUUUCAAGGCAACAGAGAAAGAAAGAGGAAAAAGUAAGGAGAAGAGGGGAAGAACAAGGGAGAAGCUAGGAUUUCCAGAAAAUUGAAGAGGUAAGGGGGAGAAUC
rnacentral:lncRNA from 1 species